rnacentral:rRNA from 1 species
UACCUAGGUAACCCUUGAAUAAACUACCCUCGUUGCUUUGGCGGGCCGCCUUCUAGGCCAGCGGCUUCGGCUGCUGCGCGCCCGCCGGAGGACCACAACUCUUGUUUUUAGUGACGUCUGAGUACUAUAUAAUAGUUAAAACUUUCAACAACGGAUCUCUUGGUUCUGGCAUCGAUGAAGAACGCAGCGAAAUGCGAUAAGUAAUGUGAAUUGCAGAAUUCAGUGAAUCAUCGAAUCUUUGAACGCACAUUGCGCCCUUUGGUAUUCCGAAGGGCAUGCCUGUUCGAGCGUCAUUAUAACCACUCAAGCCCUCGCUUGGUAUUGGGGCUCGCGGUCUCGCGGCCUCUAAACUCAGUGGCGGUGCCUGUCGGCUCUACGCGUAGUAAUACUCCUCGCGUCUGGGUCCGGUAGGUUGCCUGCCAGCAACCCCAAAUUUUUACAGGUUGACCUCGGAUCAGGUAGGGAUACCCGCUGAACUU